UACGUAGGGUGCGAGCGUUAAUCGGAAUUACUGGGCGUAAAGCGUGCGUAGGCGGUUGGCAAAGUCAGCUGUGAAAGCCCCGGGCUUAACCUGGGAAUGGCGGUUGAAACUAGUCGACUAGAAUCUGGCAGAGGGGGGUGGAAUUCCACGUGUAGCAGUGAAAUGCGUAGAGAUGUGGAGGAACACCGAUGGCGAAGGCAGCCCCCUGGGCUGAGAUUGACGCUCAGGCACGAAAGCGUGGGGAGCGAACAGG
rnacentral:rRNA from 1 species